rnacentral:lncRNA from 1 species
GUUCUUUUUUCAGACAUUCAGUGUAAGCUGCAUGGCUGACACGUCACACGCUGUCAGUGAGACACUUCUGAGGAAGGAGAGAGACAUCACAGAAAGUGUCAAACAAAGGUAGCGCUGUCUGUCUCACACUCAUAUCUUCAGCUCAUCAUCUCAUGACGUGGAGAUGGAUCA